rnacentral:rRNA from 1 species
UACUAAAAUCUCCUUUUGGUGGAGAAGGGUGGAUUGUUAGUGUAGAUGAUUUAGAAGAUAUAAUUGGUGGGCAUGUAUGGUUGGGUUUUAUUUGUGUAUUUGGCGGAAUUUGGCAUAUUUUAACCAAACCCUUCGCAUGGGCUCGCCGUGCAUUUGUAUGGUCUGGAGAAGCUUACUUGUCUUAUAGUUUAGCUGCUUUAUCUGUCUUUGGUUUUAUCGCUUGUUGUUUUGUAUGGUUCAAUAAUACAGCUUAUCCGAGUGAGUUUUAUGGACCCACCGGGCCAGAAGCUUCUCAAGCUCAAGCAUUUACUUUUCUAGUUAGAGACCAGCGUCUUGGAGCUAAUGUGGGAUCCGCUCAAGGACCCACAGGUUUAGGUAAAUAUCUAAUGCGUUCCCCAACUGGGGAGGUUAUCUUUGGAGGGGAAACUAUGCGUUUUUGGGACCUUCGUGCUCCAUGGUUAGAACCUCUAAGGGGCCCCAACGGUUUGGACUUGAGUAGGUUGAAAAAGACAUACAACCUUGGCAAGAACGACGCUCAGCAGAAUAUAUGACCCACGCUCCUUUAGGCUCUUUAAAUUCCGUGGGUGGCGUAGCUACCGAGAUCAAUGCAGUUAAUUAUGUCUCUCCUAGAAGUUGGUUAUCAACUUCUCAUUUUGUUCUAGGAUUCUUCUUUUUUGUGGGCCAUUUAUGGCAUGCAGGAAGAGCCCGAGCUGCUGCAGCAGGUUUUGAAAAGGGAAUCGAUCGUGAUUUGGAACCUGUUCUUUACAUGAACCCUCUUAACUAAGAUUUUCUUAUUUAUACCUGUUCUACUUUUUUUCUUUUCUAGUUAGAGACCAGCGUCUUGGAGCUAAUGUGGGAUCCGCUCAAGGACCCACAGGUUUAGGUAAAUAUCUAAUGCGUUCCCCAACUGGGGAGGUUAUCUUUGGAGGGGAAACUAUGCGUUUUUGGGACCUUCGUGCUCCAUGGUUAGAACCUCUAAGGGGCCCCAACGGUUUGGACUUGAGUAGGUUGAAAAAAGACAUACAACCUUGGCAAGAACGACGCUCAGCAGAAUAUAUGACCCACGCUCCUUUAGGCUCUUUAAAUUCCGUGGGUGGCGUAGCUACCGAGAUCAAUGCAGUUAAUUAUGUCUCUCCUAGAAGUUGGUUAUCAACUUCUCAUUUUGUUCUAGGAUUCUUCUUUUUUGUGGGCCAUUUAUGGCAUGCAGGAAGAGCCCGAGCUGCUGCAGCAGGUUUUGAAAAGGGAAUCGAUCGUGAUUUGGAACCUGUUCUUUACAUGAACCCUCUUAACUAAGAUUUUCUUAUUUAUACCUGUUCUACUUAUUUUCUGUUCUGGCUCGGUUAUUCCAUCUAGCCGAGCCAUUCAUUCCUUUUUAUGAAAGAAAGAUAAGGGACAGAAAAAAAAAAAAAAUGAAAGAAACAAACGUAUUCAAUAAGCAAAAGGAGAGAGAGGGAUUCGAACCCUCGAUAGUUCCUAGAACUAUACCGGUUUUCAAGACCGGAGCUAUCAACCACUCAGCCAUCUCUCCACAGCCUAAUCCUUAUUUUACUCCUACAAAUAGAACAUAGCCAUAUAAAAAAUAAAAAGAUUUAUUAGCCUCUAGAAAGAUAUCAGAUACAAGUUCCUUUUCGAUAUAUCUCUGUAUACUGUAUACACGGAUACAGGAUCCGCUAUACCCGCUUGUGAAAUAAAGAGUAAAUAAUCUCUUCUCACCCCCAUAUCCAAAUAAAAAAGCGGUUUAAGUAAUAAAUUUGAAUUAAAGAGAAGAAUCAAUGGAUUCAUGAUUAAACCCCUCCUACUUCUUGUAUUUUUUUACAAUUUUGGUUUAAGUGAGGGAUCAAAUAUGUAGUCAACUUUAUUUGAUGGUAGCUUGGAGGAUUAGAAAUAUGACUAUUGCUUUCCAAUUAGCUGUUUUUGCAUUAAUUGCGACUUCCUCAGUCUUAGUAAUUAGUGUACCCCUUGUAUUUGCUUCUCCUGAUGGUUGGUCAAAUAAUAAAAAUGUUGUAUUUUCCGGUACAUCAUUAUGGAUUGGACUAGUCUUUCUCGUAGCUAUUCUGAAUUCUCUCAUUUCUUAAAUUAAAUUUGGUUAAUAUUUAUUAACCCCAUAAAAAAGAAAUAAUAAAGGCCAUUUCUUCUAAAAAAUUAGAAUAGUGAGACGUAUUAAAACGCAAUUUGCGUUCCGAAUUGCUAGCUCUUCUCUUUCAGUAUUAUGAAAUUCCAUUCCCAUUAGAAUAUUCAUUCACAGAUAAUAAAAAAAGGAAAACUCUAAUAUAAUAGAAAAUGAAAUGAAACGGUCGACCCAGACAUAGAAGGUCGACCCAGGCGGAUAUACGCUAUAAAAUAUAUACCGUAGCGAGCGUAGUUCAAUGGUAAAAUAUCUCCUUGCCAAGGAGAAGAUACGGGUUCGAUUC